CGAAAGCCUGACGGAGCGACGCCGCGUGGAGGAUUAAGGCCUUCGGGUUGUAAACUCCUGUCACGGGUUAUGAACGGCGUAGUGUUAAUAGCGCUACGAUUGACGUAAGCCCGAGAGGAAGCACCGGCUAACUCCGUGCCAGCAGCCGCGGUAAGACGGAGGAUGCAAGUGUUAUCCGGAAUCACUGGGCGUAAAGCGUCUGUAGGUGGCUUAAUAAGUCAACUGUUAAAUCUUGAAGCUCAACUUCAAAAUCGCAGUCGAAACUAUUAGACUAGAGUAUAGUAGAGGUAAAGGGAAUUUCCAGUGGAGCGGUGAAAUGCGUAGAGAUUGGAAAGAACACCGAUGGCGAAGGCACUUUACUGGGCUAUUACUGACACUCAGAGACGAAAGCUAGGGUAGCAAAUG
rnacentral:rRNA from 1 species